GGCGCACGGGUGAGUAACACGUAGGUAACCUACCCUUCAGUGGUGGAUAACCCUCCGAAAGGAGAGCUAAUACAGCAUAAGACCACGGGUCCCUCGGGAUCUGCGGCCAAAGUGGGCCUCUUCAUGAAAGCUCACGCUGAAGGAUGAGCCUGCGGCCCAUCAGCUAGUUGGCAGGGUAACGGCCUACCAAGGCAAAGACGGGUAGCUGGUCUGAGAGGAUGGUCAGCCACACUGGAACUGAGACACGGUCCAGACUCCUACGGGAGGCAGCAGUGGGGAAUCUUGCGCAAUGGGCGAAAGCCUGACGCAGCGACGCCGCGUGAGCGAUGAAGGCCUUCGGGUUGUAAAGCUCUGUGGGGAGGGACGAAUAAGGGCUGGCUAACAUCCAGUCUGAUGACGGUACCUCCUUAGCAAGCACCGGCUAACUCUGUGCCAGCAGCCGCGGUAAGACAGAGGGUGCAAACGUUGUUCGGAAUCACUGGGCGUAAAGCGCGUGUA
rnacentral:rRNA from 1 species